rnacentral:rRNA from 1 species
UACAGAGGUCUCAAGCGUUUGUUCGGAUUCAUUGGGCGUAAAGGGUGCGUAGGCGGUCUGUUACGUCUGCUGUGAAAACCCGGGGCUUAACCCUGGGCUUGCAGUGGAUACGGGCAGACUAGAGGCAGGUAGGGGAGAAUGGAAUUCCCGGUGUAGCGGUGAAAUGCGCAGAUAUCGGGAGGAAUACCGGUGGCGAAGGCGGCAUCCUGGACCGACAUUGACGCUGAGGAGCGAAAGCCAGGGGAGCAAACGGG